rnacentral:lncRNA from 1 species
AAGAAGAAGAAUCCAAUGCCGUUUUCCAAAAUAGUAUAGCAUAUUUAGUCUUUGAGAUAUUGGCAGUUACAAAUGCACGAUUUUGACGAUUUUAGUCAACUUGCAUGCAAGUUUACAAGCUUUAAUGACGAUUUAUUUACUUAUUUUAUCACAGAACUGAAUUUUAUUGCGUUGAAGAAUGUUUAUCAACAAAUUUUGUAAUAUUUUCAAAGCCCAAAACCUACUUUUUCCAUUCAUUUCUUUUAGUUGUUCAGACAGCGCAAAAGAACGAAGUGAAUUUUGCAAAAAAUGACUUUAAGCAUGUUCUUGAAGGAGAGGAAUUUUCGACGCUAUUUGUGGAAAUUUUUGGUCGGAAUUCUUAAGAAAACGAAUUUAGCAAAUUUGAGUGAAAUUCCUGACAGAAUACAUAAUUUAAUUAUAACUCAGAAAUCAUAGGGAAAUUUACUGGCAGAAUUCUUGGCACAUAUGUUGGAAUUUCUACCUAAAUUCCUAAUAUUAAUACUAAAAAAACACUUCCUUAAUUGUUUGAUGGAAUUCCUCGCGGGACUUCCUACGAAUUCUUUGAAUAAUGUUUGUUUGGAACUCCAGAAAAAAAAUGUGCAUUAUAUUCUGGAAAAAAAAUGUUAAAAUUUCUUCAAAGGGUGGCUCGGAGAUCCCUUUUAGCUUUCCGCUGAUAAUCUUACGUCAAAAUCGUCCAAAAUUUGUCCAAAUUCAACCAAAUAUAAUUUCCUAAAUUUUGCUUCAAUUUGCAACACAGUUUUCUCUUAAAACUCAACAAAUAGAAUUCAUCAGAAUUUCUACACAAUGUUCUCCAGAAAGUUCAACAGGAAUGUUUUCUUCUCUCGGUACCUUUAUUUUGAGAAGCCAUUUCAUAUUUUCGCAAAAAUAGUGACUUUAGUGACCAUUUUACUGAAAAAUCGACUUUAGUGCGUUUAUUGAUGCAAAUAGUGGCUUUUUAGUGACCAAGAGCAGGAAAGGACCCGUGCAUAGGAAACGACCUGCGAAUGGUCCCAUACCUUCAGCUUACAAAUCAGAACAGAUUGACUUUGAACUACCAACACUGUCGCAUAACGCAAAACGGAUAAUCGCUCAAAAUUCCUUGCCAAUGAACAAAUCCCCGUAGAGGUGAUUACAAUCGGAGUUAAUGUCCAAAUAAUGACCAAAAUGGAGAAUUAAUAAUAACCGGAUUGCUGACUAAACUUCUAAAACCAACGUCCGUCAGAUCUACGAAGUCAUUCGUGCCCUUUCAAACUAAUAAGAAUGAAGUGUUUCGUCUACGCUCUUUAUCUGCUAGUGCUCGUAUCGGUAGAAACGAGUGCUACAAGAUGUGUACCCAAUGCGUCGGAAAUUAAAAAACCUGUGCCCAUACAUAGACCACUACCUACUGUGAUACCGAAAGUCCCAGGAAUUCCUCACAGCAUGCCUAAUGAAGAACAAACAAUUGACGUUGCGAGACGAACGUUGGCUCCCGGAAUCCGCUGGAAAAGGUCGAUUGCCGCCGAAAGAAUUCCGAAAGCGAAAGCAGAGAACCUCGGUUUCUAACCUAACUGGAAUAAUUGGACUAAUCUCAAAACCUGAAGAAUUUCAUCAUUUAUAAAAUACAGUAUACAGUGCGAAUCAUUAUGGUUCAAACAUUGAAGCGUGAUCAAAUUGAAAAUUCUUCUUUUCAUCAGAAUAAUUUAGAGAGCAACGUCUAGUUUCUGCCAUAACCUUGGUAUACGAGAAACACUAAACAUCAAAAUCCCAAUCGAAUUGUAAAUAACAGAGUUUGAAUCUUGAUUGACCGCCCUCGGUGAUUGGAGCAUGACUUCUAAAUUUUUCAACUUUGUCCGGUAUUGGGUGCUGACCGGUACUGCGAAAAGCGCGGUUGUUGCACUAUGGUCAAAUUCAUUUCUCGAACGCGUGCACGGAAAACAAUGACAAUUGUGAUUGAACACUAAAAAAAAGUCACCGAAUAACUAAAGUGUAUGCAAUAAUGAUUAUUUUCUAUUCUUCUUUCAUUCAUUCUGAGAUUCUCUCGGAAGUUCAUCUAUCAUUAUAAAUUGAAUCACUCUAGGAUUCUUCAAAAAACACUCACAGCUUUCUGGGAUUCUUUGGAAAAUCCUCUUGAGGUUCUUCGUAAAAUCUCACUGAGAUUCUUCCUGGAACCGUAAAUUUCUCUAGAAUUAUCCCAAAAAUCUCUGAAGUUCUUCCGGUAAUCCUCAUGGAAUUCUUUAUAAGAAAUCCUUCUGAAAUUUAUCAGGAAAUCUCUCUGUAAUUCUUUCAUAAACCUAUCUCGAGCUGUUCCGUCCAAAAAUCCUUCUUGGGUUAUUCCGGAAAUGCUUCUAGAAUUCCUCUUUAUGAAAGUACAGAAAAUCUUCCAAGAAUCCCUGUGAGAUUCUUCCGAAAACUCCAUCUGGAAUUCUUCCAUAAAUCUCUUGGAAAUUCCUCUUAGUUUCUUUCCGAAAUCCUUCUGAAACUAUUAUAGUUAUCUCAUUGAUCGCUCUAUGAUUUUUCCGAAAAUCUUCCUUCUUUUGGAUUAUCUUGAAAAUUCCUUUUGGAUUUUUAUGAAAAUUCUUCCGGGUUUUUUUCCGUACAAUUUCCCUGGAAUACUGCCGAAAAUGUUUCGAUGAUUACUUUCCUGAAGGAUGAAAUUCUAUUAAAAAAAAUCUGGGAUUCUUCUGAAUAUCUUUUGAAGAUUUUUCCAGAAAACUUUCGGGGUUUCUUACAAAAAUCCCUCAGGAUUUCUUCCGGAAAUCCAUCCGAAAUUAUUGUAUUAAAACCUCUGAGUUUUUUCCACAAAUCCAUCAGUAAUUCAUUCGUGAAUGUCCCUGGAACUUUUUUGGAUAUCCCUUUUAGAUUCUCUCAGGAUUAUUCAAAUUUUUCUGGGAUUCUCCCAGAAAUCCGUCUGAAACUACAGUAAAAUAUCUAUUCUUGCGCUGUCAGAUUAUUCCGUUCAAAUUCUAGAGAUUUUUCCGAAAAUCCCUAUUGAAUACUUCUAAAACCAUGUUAAAUUUUUUCCAGAUAUCUCUUGGUUUAUUUGACAU